rnacentral:misc_RNA from 1 species
GACAGAGGGUGCGAACGUUGCUCGGAAUUACUGGGCGUAAAGCGCGUGUAGGCGGGUCGGCAAGUCAGAUGUGAAAGCCCUGGGCUCAACCUAGGAACUGCAUUGGAAACUGCCGGUCUUGCGUACUGGAGAGGGAAGCGGAAUUCCUGGUGUAGAGGUGAAAUUCGUAGAUAUCAGGAGGAACACCCGUGGCGAAGGCGGCUUCCUGGACAGUUACUGACGCUGAGACGCGAAAGCGCGGGGAGCAAACAGG